AGUGAACGCUGCGGUAGGCCUAACACCUGCAAGUCGAACGGCAGCACAGUAAGAGCUUGCUCUUACGGGUGGCGAGUGGCGGACGGGUGAGGAAUACAUCGGAAUCUACUUUUUCGUGGGGGAUAACGUAGGGAAACUUACGCUAAUACCGCAUACGACCUACGGGUGAAAGCAGGGGAUCUUCGGACCUUGCGCGAUUGAAUGAGCCGAUGUCGGAUUAGCUAGUUGGCGGGGUAAAGGCCCACCAAGGCGACGAUCCGUAGCUGGUCUGAGAGGAUGAUCAGCCACACUGGAACUGAGACACGGUCCAGACUCCUACGGGAGGCAGCAGUGGGGAAUAUUGGACAAUGGGCGCAAGCCUGAUCCAGCCAUACCGCGUGGGUGAAGAAGGCCUUCGGGUUGUAAAGCCCUUUUGUUGGGAAAGAAAAGCAGCAGGUUAAUACCCCGCUGUUCUGACGGUACCCAAAGAAUAAGCACCGGCUAACUUCGUG
rnacentral:rRNA from 1 species